CCUACGGGUGACAGCAGUGGGGAAUAUUGCACAAUGGGGGAAACCCUGAUGCAGCGACGCCGCGUGAGUGAAGAAGGAUUUCGGGACGUAAAGCUCUAUCAGCAGGGAAGAAAAUGACGGUAACUGACUAAGAAGCCCCGGCUAACGACGGCCCAGCAGCCGCGGUAAUACGGAGGGGGCAAGCGUUAUCCGGAGUUACUGGGUGUAAAGGGAGCGUAGACGGCAGCGCAAGUCUGAAGUGAAAUCCCCUGGCUUAACCAUGGAACUGCUUUGGAAACUGUGCAGCUGGAGUGCAGGAGAGGUAAGCGGAAUUCCUAGUGUAGCGGUGAAAUGCGUAGAUAUUAGGAGGAACACCAGUGGCGAAGGCGGCUUACUGGACUGUAACUGACGUUGAGGCUCGAAAGCGUGGGGAGCAAACAGGAUUAGAUACCCCAGUAGUC
rnacentral:rRNA from 1 species